UGUUCCAUGCAUGUGUUAUAAUAUUCAAUGUGAUGGAAAUCUUGAAAAGUUUUUUGAUUUUGGUUGCAACUAAACAGGGUCUCAAGAAAUGCAUACGAUUGAAUAGAGGAAUUAGUUGAGUGCAUGUCAUCGAUUGCAUGGAAAUUAGUUUAGUGUGGAACCAUCAUCAAAGGUUACAGAAACCUAAUCAAGUGCUAGCAAGAUUCUACACACAGACACCAACCCGCUAAGCUCCUUCAGACAUCAGGUAUCAUUGUCUCGGCAUAUAACCAACAACAUUCAGGAAGCUUCACUGAGAAUUCAUAACCCCAGCUUCAAAGGAAGUCUUAAAUUUCCAGGUCACUGACACUUCCCCUGAGCUUCACCUCUCAUGGGGCUACCACCAUGGUAUGAACCUUGCUCCCUUGGUGGGGAGCUCCUCCUGGGGCUGCGGCUGUAACCAGAGGUUCUUGGUGGCAAUUCUUCACCAUCAGCCUUAAAUUUGUUCCUUGGCGAAAGCGACCGACUGUUAGUGGGAAAAAAAAUAAAGUUAGAAAUAUUUAGUCAAAAUCAAACAUCAUCAGAACGGAAUUCUAGGAAACAUCUUUUCCUAUACUUUGCAUUGUAUAAAGUAAUUCAGCAGCCCUUUUUAACUUGCAGGACAGGUUUUUAUUUGGAAA